UCAUAUUCUUACUGAAUUCAUUCAACAUGAAGUUCUUACAAGUUGUACUACUCGCUCUAGCGGCGCUCGUGGCUUCUGUGGCUGGUGCAAUCCCGAUGAUACAGAAUCCUGUCGUAAACAUGCGCGAUGCUGACCCGAAUUUUAUAACGGUUCCUCCAAACUGCCCUCCUGGUCAGGUGAUGGGUCCAGAUGGAGUUUGCCGUGAACCCUGGUAGACUGCGGCUGCAGUCGCUCAUGCUGGACUCCAGCAGAUGCUAAACUUGCAAAUAAAUAACGGAAUAAAA